rnacentral:rRNA from 1 species
UACGGGGGGGGUAAGCGUUGUCCGGAAUCAUUGGGCGUAAAGCGCGCGUAGGUGGCCCCGUAAGUCCGCUGUGAAAGUCAAAGGCUCAACCUUUGAAAGCCGGUGGAUACUGUGGGACUAGAGUACGGAAGAGGCGAGUGGAAUUCCUGGUGUAGCGGUGGAAUGCGCAGAUAUCAGGAGGAACACCAAUAGCGAAGGCAGCUCGCUGGGACGUUACUGACACUGAGGCGCGAAAGCGUGGGGAGCGAACAGG